UACGGCCAUAUCACGUUGAAAUACCGGUUCUCGUUCGAUCUCCGAAGUUAAGCAACAUUGAGCCUGAUCAGUACUGAGAUGGGCGACCGCUUGGAAAUAACAAGUGCUGUCAG